rnacentral:rRNA from 1 species
GGCUUAACACAUGCAAGUCGAACGGUAACAGGAGAAAGCUUGCUUUCUUGCUGACGAGUGGCGGACGGGUGAGUAAUGCUUGGGAAUCUGGCUUAUGGAGGGGGAUAACGACGGGAAACUGUCGCUAAUACCGCGUAGAGUCGAGAGACGAAAGUGCGGGACCGCAAGGCCGCAUGCCAUAGGAUGAGCCCAAGUGGGAUUAGGUAGUUGGUGGGGUAAUGGCCUACCAAGCCGACGAUCUCUAGCUGGUCUGAGAGGAUGACCAGCCACACCGGGACUGAGACACGGCCCGGACUCCUACGGGAGGCAGCAGUGGGGAAUAUUGCGCAAUGGGGGCAACCCUGACGCAGCCAUGCCGCGUGAAUGAAGAAGGCCUUCGGGUUGUAAAGUUCUUUCGGUGACGAGGAAGGMGUGAUGUUUAAUAGGCAUCACGAUUGAC